rnacentral:rRNA from 1 species
UACGAAGGGGGCUAGCGUUGCUCGGAAUCACUGGGCGUAAAGCGCACGUAGGCGGGUCCUUAAGUUGGAGGUGAAAUCCCGGAGCUCAACUCCGGAACUGCCUUCAAUACUGAGGAUCUCGAGUUCGGGAGAGGUGAGUGGAACUGCGAGUGUAGAGGUGAAAUUCGUAGAUAUUCGCAAGAACACCAGUGGCGAAGGCGGCUCACUGGCCCGAUACUGACGCUGAGGUGCGAAAGCGUGGGGAGCAAACAGG